GUAAAUAAUAUGUUUUCCUGGCUUUAUGGUUUUUCCGCAUGAUUUAUGAAUUGUCAUAUGUAUCAUAACCUAACACAAUUGUUUCACACCUAUCACAUUUUAAAUAUUUUCUCGAAGUACACUGUUGUUAUACAAACUUUUAGGUAAAGACCGCCUUGAUGGCAAUCAAGCUGCCACGUGGUUAGUGACAUCAGCUUAAAAAAAAUCGAAAAUAUAUAAUCCUUUUAUUCUCACGCAUUUUCUCUCUCUUCCUCAUUUCAUCAUAUUGAAGGUAGGGUUUUUUCUCCCUCCUCCCUCCUCCCAUCACAUUUUCUCUCUGUUCCUCCCCAUAGAAGUGGCGACGGCAAUGGCGGCGAGACAAUGUUAGGGUUUCGCAGCGAGAGAGGAAGGAGAAGAGCGACGUCGAAUCUGGUGGCCGACGAGUGGCGGUGAAGGAAGGAGAUCGCGCGAGGCGGCAAGGCAAUCUAGUGGCCGACGAGCAGCGACGAAGGAAGGAGAUGCAGCGGCGAAGGAAGGAGAUCGUGCGAUGAUUGAUUUUACGCGGUUGACGGUGGAGAUGGUGGUGGAGCAGCGCUUUGACUGGUGGUUUGGUCGUUGUUGUGGUUGCUCCUCUACUCUGGUCGUGGUCUGGUGGCUAGCUUGAGGCGCUAGGCUUGUCAUUCCGGUGGCUGCUUUGUUGGUGCUCCUGCUGCCGUGUUGCUAGGCGUGGAGAGGAGUGAGACAGGGCAGGGUGGAAAAAUAGCAGAGAAAUGUAAUUUAAUUUUCAAAUUUGUAUUGUAAAUGUAAACACUUUUAUUCAUUUAUAUUAGUCAAGAUUAAAUUGGUUUUAGUUAAGAAUAA